ACUUCACUGCAGCAACCGUACCAUGACAGCAGUGUUUGGUGACACUCUCCGGUCAGCUGUUGGGCAGGUGAACAGCCCCUCCAGUGGCCAUGAGGAAGACUGACUCAGUCUUGAAGUGUUCUCCAUGGAAACAGACAUCAACAGUGAGGAGAGGCUGUCGUCUGCAGCCGACAACAUAAAAACAGCAGGGAUGGCAUCCAGGCAGAUGUCAGCCUCAGAGGUGGCACUGAUUCCAUUAUUUCUGGGAAAACAGAGAUGCAACAUCACUUUUGUCGUGGGCAGCUCAGAGAACAUGAGGGCUGUUCUGGGGUCAGUGAAACGGCUGCUGAUCCAGACGCUGCUGACAAAGGCUUCACUCAGGGACUCGCUCUUCAACAUCAUGACAUUCUCAUGCAAGUUGUCCUGCUGGUCCCCACACAUGCUUCCCUGUGCUCCUGACACAGUCUACAUGGCUCUGUCCUGGAUUCACUCCAUCAGCUGCAGCACUGGCAGAGAUCUCCUGUCCGCCCUGAGUGUGGCUCUCACUGACGCCGCUUGUCACGCCAUCCACCUGAUCUGCACCAACCUCCCUGACCGCCUGGACGCCCUGCUGACAGCCCUGCCCGCCCUGGCAGCUGGGAGGCCGGUCAACAUCUUCUACCUGCUAGACUCUGGUGGUCAGCUGGACAGAAACACUCAACACUACCUGCAGUGUCUGUCGCAGGCCACAGGAGGGAGCUGUUGUGUGAUUCCAGUUGGUUUGAAUGGAAGUCUGGAGAAGGUGAUUCCACUGUAUAUUGAGUCAAGCCAAUCAUCAGUGCCAACACUCUCUUCAGUCAAGUGUCGCUGUCCUUCCUCUUCAGUCUCAAUCCUACAAAACACUUCAGCCCCUCUGCUCAGGUGCAGUCUGUUUAGUCCUCUCCGUCCUGUUACCUCCUGCAUGCUGUCCGGUCAAACCCUGCAUCCAGAGUUCUUCCCAGGAUGCCGAGUGCUGGCCAGGAGGGAGGUGGAUGGCUUCUACUACACGGGCACUGUCAUACAGCAAGUACAGGGCCGCGCUGGAGUUUGGGUUGUUGAGUUCGACUACCAAGGGAGCACCAGUUUGGGGGUCGUCUCCUCACAGAGGCAGAUGGUUUGUUCCCUUGACAUGGUGAACCAUACCGGCACUCACACACGCUGUCUGGUACCUGGUGAUGCUGUGCUGUCGCCAUGGGAACCAGAUCUGAGGAGAUACGGGCCGGGGAGAGUGAUGGCCGCCACAGAGCGCAGAGAAGUUGAUGGUGUUAGGAGCCUCCAGGUGCUGAUGUGGAACAGCUAUGUGUCUCUGGUUCCUCGCACUCUGGUUUUACCCAUUUCAGCCUCUCACCAUGACAGAAUAGUCAGGGAGCUCCAGAUCACAACACUAGCCUCUGGUCGUUGUUGCAGCUGGCUUUGUGCUCGCAGCUCUUCCUGCACUCCUCAGCUGCUCUGCAGAGACUGGUUUCAGUCCUCACCACACUGCUGCUCAGUCACAAACCACCGGCCGUGUAGCUGUAGGUCCAGCUGUGGAAGACUGGAUGGAUUUGAGAGGGCAGGCAACGAUACAGAUGUGAGGAAGAGUGACCCUGAGGUGCCAUCCUCCUCCUCUUCGUGUCUCUCUGAGGAUGAGACCAGAGUGACGUCUCCUCCUGCAGUGAAGCUGAGGAGUAAAGAGCAGCGUCCUCCUUGGAGGUACUGGAGAAGAACUGGUUCAGAGCCACAACACAGGCAACCAGGGAGUGCAGUGCCCAAGAGGACAUCACAACCUGUAAGGUUCAGCUUCCCUGUCCCGCAGAUCAGUGCCUCGCCCAAUCACAGCUCUAUGUUUCAGUCACUUCCGGCUGCUAAAGGAAGAAGAGCAAACAUCAGAGAUGUUCUCGGAACGACCAACUUCAAACCUCGACCACCAGCUGGACUGUGGCCUUUCUCUGGCAUCAGUACUAAUGCUGUUUGCACAUAA
rnacentral:lncRNA from 1 species